rnacentral:lncRNA from 1 species
AGCCAUUAAUAAGACUUAAAGUUAGAAUAGAAAAAAUAAAAUUUCUUACAAAACUAGAUUUCUCUCCCUCUCUUGACCUGAGACCAACCUCCCCUUGGCUGACUCUCCUUCUCGUGUAUUGGAAGGUUGGAAGAAAGUGAGAAUAAGGUGGCUAAAAAAUUUAAAAGAUGGGUAUGUCUGCUUGUCACAUAGAUCCCCUACAAGAAUUAUAGGGUGGAGAGAUAUCUAUGAAUGGAGGUAUUAGGCUUUAUUUAUAGGUGUAGGCAGGGAGAAGGAUUUUAUAUUUUUUUGAUGUGGGACUAAAAAUUCAAAUAUUUUUUUCAUACAGCCACAUUCCUUCCCUCUUUUUUUUAAAAAAAAUUGUUGGUUCCGCUUCAUGCAUCGCGCCCGCACCCCAAAUGUAUCCGCAUGAGACCGUUCACGCAGGAGUCCUCCAUGUAUCUUCUUCCUUUUAAAACAUCUUAUGACUUGCUCUCUUGAAUUUGUUUUUGUUCCCAUGCGCCCGCAACACCUACUUCAAAUGCAAACAACAUCUUGGUCCCACUUGACUAAGCCAUUAGCAUUUCACGGCUCAUCCACUUUUCUAUGAUCCAAGUGGUCCAUGGUGGACCACAGAUUUAUAAAUUGAUAUGGUUUAUCUUCUGGCUUUGAAUUUAAUUUUAUUUUAACUUCAUUUUAAUCUCGUUUGAUCCCUCUAAGCCUGCAGAUUAGGCUCUUCAUGUUGGUGC